CAGCAUCUUUCCUCAAGCUUAUUUUGAUUAUGAAAUACGUGAAAGGCAAUGGUUCAGAGCCCUUCGGUGGAGCCGUUAAGAAACAGGCCUCGUUCAACAUGGUAAGCUAGCCCCGCACACUUGUAUACAUGAGAUGAAGUUAAUUAUCUGGAGUGGCAUAUCCAAAUAUGGGCAUGGCUUCAUCAACAAGAGAGACCAAUGAAGAUGAAAUCUGAUUUUAUAUAUGUUGUAAUCAUUUGAAUUUAAUAAAGUUGACAUGCUCGAAGCUUUGGUGAGAUAUGCAUUAAUCGUAUUUCUCUAUGAAUCUGUAUUGUACCUGAAUUAUGGAGAUGGUGUUAUUAAUAUGUCAGCUUUCUGAUAUUUCAUGGAGUGAUGAUCCUGAUCUUGUAUUUCCUG